GCUGCGGUGACCGAGUGGUUAAGGUGUGGGUUUUAAGUUAAAUUAACCGUCUUACGGCAUUGCAUUUCACCCAUGACGAAAGUCGCGCGAGUUCGAACCUCGUCCGCAGCA